CCAGGAGCAGCUGCGUAGGAAAAAAACUUUUCCCAGUUUCGAAAGAUUUUAGCCAAACGCGUCGAAGAAACUGGAUAAGGUGAAAGAGACAGGUGUAUGCUGGUGUAUUUAAAAUAACAAGUUCAACAGCAUCAGCGGAAAUUAAGGCAGACUGCCAAAAUUUGCCCCAAAAGUUAGUGAAAUGUUUAACACACGCUUAUGUCCGUUAGCUACGUCCGUUAUAGCUAGGUGUGUGCGUGUGUGCGCGCUCGCGUGUGUUAGCGCCGUCCGUUAGUGUGUGUACGUGCGUGCGUGCGUGCAUGCAUGCGUGCGUGAGCUAGGUCCGUUAGCUUCGUCCGUUGACUAGGUCUGUUAGCUAGGUCUGUUAGCUUGGUCUGUUAGCUAGGUGUGUUAGCUUGGUCUGUUUGAUAAAUUACAUCUCUCGUUUUUCUGCUGUUCGCUGCUGAGAGGAAACUGAUGACCAAAGUGGGCCAGACAAACAACACAUUGAAAGUCAGGAUAAAUCCAGAGCAGAGAAAGUGUUCCUCCAAGGUUCAAGUGAGCAGAAGGACUGGUCAGAUGGUCCAAUGAAAAAAUGAGUCCCUCAGUUCACAUGUGGUAUCAUUCAGCUGGGACAGAACAGCUAACACCAGAUGUCGACUCUAGCCCAGGAAGAGGAUUCCAUCCCAGAAAGAAGUCUCCAAUUCAGGAUGAGGAAUGCAGUUCAACAGACCAGUCCAGUACAGGAAUAAUAAAACACUCGUAUUGUUGGCUAAAGGAAGAAUUGCAGAUCUGGAGCAAGCAGCAAGUGAUUGUGUAUUACUCCCAAGACUGCUGAACUGACUCCUAAAAUCAGCACACUUAGGUAUAGAGCUACAGCAAGGCCAUUAGCCUAGUUUAACCUAAGCACUUGAAGCAAGGGAGGCAAUUCCAUUUUACAAUUUUACUAACUUGUAACUUUCUUUAUUCUCAUAUUUCAUCAAAAAUCAUCAUUGUAUCUAUUCUAUAGUGUUCAUAACUACUGAUUAUUGCUGCUCUGCAUGUGAAUUUGUAACAGAAAUUGCUUGUGGUUAGUAUUGCUUGGCUAUGUUUGGUUGCAUUGUGCUGCUUGUAUGUUUGUAUAUGCAGAAGUUGUUCGUUGUAAUUAUCUCAUUAAAGUUUUACUGCCA